rnacentral:rRNA from 1 species
UACAGAGGGUGCAAGCGUUGUUCGGAAUUAUUGGGCGUAAAGCGCGUGUAGGCGGCUUUGCAAGUCGGGUGUGAAAGCCCUCAGCUCAACUGAGGAAGUGCGCCCGAAACUGCAGAGCUUGAGUGCCGGAGAGGGUGGCGGAAUUCCCUGUGUAGCGGUGAAAUGCGUAGAGAUGGGGGAGAACACUCGUGGCGAAGGCGGCCAGCUAGACCAGUUCUGACACUGAGGCGCGACAGCGUGGGGAGCAAACAGG